UUCCGGUUGAUCCUGCCGGACCUGACUGCUAUCGGAUUGAUACUAAGCCAUGCGAGUCAUUGUAGUAAUACAAGGCAGACGGCUCAGUAACGCGUAGUCAACCUACCCUGUGGACGGGGAUAACCUCGGGAAACUGAGAAUAAUACCCGAUAGAACAUUAUGCCUGGAAUGGUUUAUGUUUCAAAUAAUUUAUUGCCGUAGGAUGGGACUGCGUCCUAUCAGUUUGUUGGUGAGGUAAUGGCCCACCAAGACUAUUACAGGUACGGGCUCUGAGAGGAGUAGCCCGGAGAUGGGUACUGAGACACGGACCCAGGCCCUAUGGGGCGCAGCAGGCGAGAAAACUUUGCAAUGUGCGAAAGCACGACAAGGUUAAUCCGAGUGGUUUCUGCUAAAGGAACCUUUUGUCAGUCCUAGAAGCACUGAUGAAUAAGGGGUGGGCAAGUUCUGGUGUCAGCCGCCGCGGUAAAACCAGCACCUCAAGUGGUCAGGAUGAUUAUUGGGCCUAAAGCAUCCGUAGCCUGCUUUGUAAGUUUUCGGUUAAAUCCAUACGCUCAACGUAUGGGCUGCCGGGAAUACUGCAAAGCUAGGGAGUGGGAGAGGUAGACGGUACUCGGUAGGAAGGGGUAAAAUCCUUUGAUCUAUUGAUGACCACCUGUGGCGAAGGCGGUCUACCAGAACACGUCCGACGGUGAGGGAUGAAAGCUGGGGGAGCAAACCGGAUUAGAUACCCGGGUAGUCCCAGCUGUAAACUAUGCAAACUCAGUGAUGCAUUGGCUUGAUGCCAAUGCAGUGCUGCAGGGAAGCCGUUAAGUUUGCCGCCUGGGAAGUACGUACGCAAGUAUGAAACUUAAAGGAAUUGGCGGGGGAGCACCACAAGGGGUGAGGCCUGCGGUUCAAUUGGAGUCAACGCCGGG
rnacentral:rRNA from 1 species